AGUGAACGCUGGCGGUAGGCCUAACACAUGCAAGUCGAACGGCAGCACAGUAAGAGCUUGCUCUUACGGGUGGCGAGUGGCGGACGGGUGAGGAAUACAUCGGAAUCUACUUUUUCGUGGGGGAUAACGUAGGGAAACUUACGCUAAUACCGCAUACGACCUACGGGUGAAAGCAGGGGAUCUUCGGACCUUGCGCGAUUGAAUGAGCCGAUGUCGGAUUAGCUAGUUGGCAGGGUAAAGGCCCACCAAGGCGACGAUCCGUAGCUGGUCUGAGAGGAUGAUCAGCCACACUAGAACUGAGACACGGUCCAGACUCCUACGGGAGGCAGCAGUGGGGAAUAUUGGACAAUGGGCGCAAGCCUGAUCCAGCCAUACCGCGUGGGUGAAGAAGGCCUUCGGGUUGUAAAGCCCUUUUGUUGGGAAAGAAAAGCAGCAGGUUAAUACCCCGCUGUUCUGACGGUACCCAAAGAAUAAGCACCGGCUAACUUCGUG
rnacentral:rRNA from 1 species